rnacentral:rRNA from 1 species
UUAAGCUACUAAGGGCACACGGGGGAUGCCUUGGCGUCAAAUGCCGAAGAAGGACGUGCAGCGCUGCGAAAAGCUGUGGGGAAUUGCGCUGGAGUGUUGAUCCACAGAUAUCCGAAUGGGGAAACCCGGCCUGAGGAAAGUCAGGUCAGCCAUUGGUGAACACAUAGCCAGUGAGCGGGGAACUCGGGGAACUGAAACAUCUAAGUACCCGGAGGAGAAGAGAGAAUUCCGUAAGUAGUGGCGAGCGAAAGCGGAGGAGCCCAAACCAAGAUGGGGAGACCUGUUUUGGGGUUGUAGGACAGACAACAAGCGCCAGUUGAUAGUGGAAUGGUAUUGGGAAAGCCGACCAUAGAGGGUGAGAGUCCCGUACACGAAAUUGACGAAGCGCGGGUUUGUAUCCUGAGUACUGCGGGGCACGCUAACCCUGCAGGAAGCUGGGGGGCCCACCCUCCAAGGCUAAAUACACUUGACGACCGACAGUGAACCAGUACCGUGAGGGAAAGGUGAAAAGCACCCCUGCUAGGGGAGUGAAAUAGAACCUGAAACCGUGUGCUUACAAGCAGUCAGAGCCCGAUGCCGGGGCAACUCGGCGGGGUGAUGGCGUGCCUCUUGGAGAAUGAGCCGACGAGUUACUUUCAGUGGCAAGGUUAAGGCAGAUACAGCCGGAGCCGAAGCGAAAGCGAGUCUGAAAAGGGCGUGUAGUCGCUGGGAGUAGACCCGAAACUGGGUGAGCUAUCCAUGGCCAGGGUGAAGUGGGGGUAAAACCUCAUGGAGGCCCGAACCGUUGUAUAUUGCAAAAUGCUCGGAUGAGCUGUGGAUAGGGGUGAAAUGCCAAACGAACCCAGAGAUAGCUGGUUCUCGCCGAAAUAACUUUAGGGUUAGCGUCAUACCGUUACUAGCGGAGGUAAAGCACUGAAUGGGGUAGGGGCCUACACGGCUACCGAACCCAAUCAAACUCUGAAUGCCGCUAGUAUGAGGAUGGCAGUCGGACUACGGGAGAUGAGUUUCGUGGUCGAGAGGAAAAGAAUCCAGACCGUCAGCUAAGGUCCCGGAGUGAUAGCUAAGUGGGAAAGGAUGUGGGGUUACCGAGACAGCCAGGAGGUUGGCUUAGAAGCAGCCACCCUUGAAAGAGUGCGUAAUAGCUCACUGGUCUAGUGAUCCUGCGCCGAAAAUAUAACGGGGCUCAAGCUAUCCACCGAAGCUACGGGAUGUGCAGUGACUUUGGUCAUUGUAGAUCAGUAGGCGAGCGUUCCCGAGCGGAGAAGCCAUACCGGAAGGAGUGGUGGAGCGAAGGGAAGUGAGAAUGUUGGCACGAGUAGCGAGAACUGUGUGAGAAUCACAGUCCCCAUAAGUCUAAGGUUUCCGACGGAAGGUCAAUCCGCGUCGGGUUAGUCGGUCCUAAGGUGAGGCUGAAGAGCGUAGCCGAUGGAUAACUGGUUAAUAUUCCAGUACUGCGUAAGUUCGUUAUGAGCGAAGGGGUGACAUGGGAAGGUAGGUUGGCCGGCGGUUGGAAGUGCCGGUGCCAAGCCUGUAGGCGUUGAGAGCGGGGUUAAAAGACCGUUUGAGCUGAGGGGUGACGGCGAGCCUGUAACAGGGCGGAAGCAACUGAGCCUAUACCAUCAAGAAAAGCCUCUAGCCAGAGCUGCGUAACCGUACCGCAAACCAACACAGGUAGACGGGUAGAGAAUACCAAGGGGAACGGGAGAACCUCUGUUAAGGAAUUAGGCAACAUAGCCCCGUAACUUCGGGAGAAGGGGCGCCCUGGUAGGUUGAGGAUAUGCACAUGUCCGAGGCUGAGAGGGCCGCAGAGAAAUGGCUCUAGCGACUGUUUACCAAAAACACAGGUCUGUGCGAAGCUGGAAGGCGAAGUAUACAGGCUGACGCCUGCCCAGUGCCGGAAGGUUAAGGGGAGAGGUGAGAGCUUCGAACUGAAGCCCCGGUGAACGGCGGCCGUAACUAUAACGGUCCUAAGGUAGCGAAAUUCCUUGUCGGGUAAGUUCCGACCCGCACGAAAGGCGUAACGACUGGAGCACUGUCUCAACAGAG